AAUUCCAUCUCCAAUAAAGACUUAAGUUUCAGCUCCUUGUAAAUCCCCCUCCUCUCCCCUCCCCAUUCUUUUUAGGUUAAGUCUCCAUUUCCCAUAAAAGCUUUAAGUUUCAGUUUCUUGUAAUCCCCCCACCCCCUUCAGCCUAUCUGCAAUACAAUGUGCUGUCCUUAAGAAACCUUUAACUACAAGGAAGUUAUCAAACUGGGUCACCGUUCGCAACAUUCCUGUGGUUUUUGGCUUUAAAACCCAACCUUUCUAGCUGUGAGGUGUGCAAUCUCCAAAUUGGCUCCUGGGGAUUGCAUCGUCAGGCCUGGCUUAAAAUAAAGCCUUUGCUCCCCAAAUUUUAAUUUCUUGCUUCCUUGGGUUUUAUUCCAGGGUCUGAGCUAUCACAUUUGGGGGCUCGUCCAGGAUGGGAGCAAGACCCCAGACCAUUUCUGAACAUUUGAAAGUAAGUACUCUGGAAGGUUCGUUUGGGCCGUGGUCAGUUUGUACUCUUGGGGAGGAGAUGCCCUCAAUUUGGGAAUUGACUCUGCCCUUCUGAGGACAGAGUCAAUUGGUUUUUUGGGACAAAUCUUGUCCAUUUGUAUAGUUUUGGGGACAAACUUCAUCUAUUUGUGACUCUGCCCCAGGUGGGGAACCGCUCCAUUAGUUAAUUUGUUAAUUCCUCUAGAUCCCAAAAUUUGACCAAUUUUUGAGCAAAGGCCAUUUUGCUGUAGCUUGUCUUGUCUUGUAUGUCUAUUUGUGUACCCAUUUGGUCUAAUUGUUCCCCUUUUGGUUACCCCAAAUCUAACAGAGCAUUCUUUCCUAGGAACCCCUUCUACGAGCCCAAAAUGGAAAAAGGGAUUUAGAUAUUUAUGUUCAGUGUUUUUGUACUUUAGAAUUGUCUGCCUAUUUGAAUUUGUUACUAACUUAGGGGCUUGUUGCCCAUUUCUGCUGCAGGAUCCAUAUGGCUUAUUAGACUCAAAGUUCAUAAUAAAAAAUUUAUUUCCUUUAGCUCACCAAACUGUGCACGAAGCAACCUUUGUUUGUGUCUUUUAUGUUGUGGCACCUUGUUUAAUGUUUUAGUCCUCAAUUAUUAUUUGCAAAUUCGGCAUGCCUUUAAAAAAAAGAAUAUUUUUCUUUCUGGUUAAAAUGUAAACAUAUGUGCACAAAUAUAUGUAUAUUUAUGGUUUUUAAGAAUCAUAUCAACUUUACCAAGUAAAAACCAGGUUAUACUAUAUUUGAGCCAGUUAAAAGGUUACAGUUAUUUCUAAAAUAAAGCAUUUUAAUGUGGUAAAAAGACAUAAAAUAAUUAAAUGUAUUUUAGACUACUAAAAGGUGACUUUAAGGGUUUUGUUAAGAGUUUUAAUGUUGUCUGAGAAGCGAGAGGAAAGGUCAUUGAUUGGUAAUAGUAAGAAAAAGAGGGACAAAGAAAGUGGUUUUGUCUUCAAAUAAAAAUGUCUGGCUGUGCCAGAAUGUGGAAGAAGAUAAAAGCUCAAUUUGAGGGUAUAUUGUAAGUUGUAGAAAGCUCAAGAGGAUGUGAAUUUUAUUUGUUUUGGUUUAUAGUACUACAAAUAACAGGUCUGAAAAUAAUUAAAUGUGUUCAGAAUUUGACAGUAUUAGAUCAGUUUUGGUAGAAGUAUUCAUAAGAUUGGUAAACCUUUGCUGCAAAAUGUUUCCAUUAAAAUGAGAUUAUGGGUGAUUAUAGAGAUAAGAUACAAGUUCUUGCAUAUUCUGUGAACAUCUGGGAGAUUAUGCGGCACAAUUUUGUUACACAUGAAAAAGCCCCUUUUUGUUAAGCAUGUAAUUUCAGUAAAAUGGUGGCCUGCCACGUGGCACCCUGGGACCAAAAACAGUGUGCCAUCCAGAUGAAACCUGCUCCCUGAUCCAGAAUGCCAAAACCAUGUUUUCCUUUUGUCCCACCCUGAUUGGACAAUCAGAGGUAAGGAGGUUUCCCAAGUAUUGCCAGUUGUUCUCUUUGCAACUCAGUCGGCCCCACAUGUUAGACAAAAAUUGCAAAGGUUUAAGAGAUUUGAGAAAAUGCCCCUCGGCCAGUUAACAGAGAUAGCACAAAAGGUCUUUGAGAACUGAGAGAAUUUACAAGAAGCUACCAAUAAGAAGAUAGUCAAGGUAAUAGAAUUGCUCUAUGAGACAGAAUUUAAAAAAAAAAAAAACAAGUACGAGAGUUUCUGGGGGUGGUUGGACACUGUAGACUAUGGAUUCUAAGUUUUACUAAAAAGCUCACCCCCAUAUGACUCCCCUAAGGAAGAAACUCAAAAUUCACUGAACUGGACUGAUAAAUGUGAACAGGCCUUCCAGUAGCUCAAGUGGGCCUUGACAGAGGCCCCAGCCCUGGGACUCCCUGAUGUUACCAAGCCGUUCACCUUGUUCAUAGAUAAACUCAGGGGCAUUGCCGAAGGAGUCCUAACCCAGGACAUUGGCCCUUGGAAGAGGCCUAUAGCCUACCUCUCCAAAAGACUUGAUCUGGUGACAGGAGGAUGGGCCCCCUGCCUGAGAAUCCUAGCUGCUGUGGCAAUGUUACUUAAAGAGGCUAACAAACUCACUUUUGGACAGAAGAUUUCUGUAGUGACUUCCCACUGUUUAGAGACUCUUAUCAAAACUCCUCCCAAAAAAUGGCUCUCAAACACUAGAAUUUUACACUAUCAGGCUCUGCUUCUAGACGCAGAGUCAGUAGUUUUCAAGACUCCUUCUGCUUUAAACCCAGCCACCCUUAUGCCUGACGAUGACCCUGAGGAACAAAGGACACCUCUCCAUGAGUGUGCUGACAUCCUUGAACUGCAGCAGAACCUAUGGGCUGAUCUUACCGACAAGCCUUUGGGAAAUGCUGACAACUAUUUCAUCGAUGGAAGCAGCUUCAUCCAGAAUGGCAAACGAGUGGCCAGAGCAGCAGUGACCACCGAAAAGGAGCUCCAGAUGCCCACAGUGCUUGUCAGUCAACUCAGCCAAGAGCUCUACGCUGGAGACCACUUGACAUUGAGGAAUUGUUCCAGGAGAACGUUGGGAAGUAGACUUCACGGACAUGGUAAAGCCUAGUUUACAGGGGCACCACUAUCUCUUAGUAUUAGUAGACACCUUCAUUGGCUGGGUAGAGGCUUUCCCUACUAAGUCUGCAUUAGCCUUAGUGGUAGUUAAAAAGCUAUUGCAUGAGAUCAUACCUCGAUUUGGCCUCCCACUAUCAAUGGGGUCCGAAAAUGGCCCAGCUUUCAUAGCCCAAGUCACCCAAAAGUUAGCCAGGCAUUAAGAUUAAUUGGAAAACGCCACUGUGCCUAUCGGCCACAAAGCUCAGGGAAAGUAGAACGUAUGAACUGAACUCUCAAGGACACUUUAGCUAAGCUGUCUUUAGAAACUGGCGAUAAUUGGAUGAGCCUUCUUCCCUUUGCACUGUUAAGAGCUAGAUGUACCCCAUAUGUUUCUGGAAUUUCCCCCUUUGAGGCUAUGUUCAGAAGGCCCCCUCCACUGGUCACAAGACUGUCAGAGGACAAAUUAGUUGAAAUAACUAACCAAGAUCUCAUUAAGUCCCUGCAGACUCUCCGGCCUGUGUUGGCCUUGAUCCAGCAGCUGUUUAGACAAAAACACCCAGACCUGCCUUCAGAGAAGCCAUUCAAAGCACCCAUCGAGCUGGGAACUUCUGUCCUGGUGCAAUGUCACAAUUGAGACUCCCUUGAACCCCACUGGAAAAGACCCCUCACCAUGGUGUUCAGUACCCCCCACUGCCGUCAAGGUAGCAGGAAAAACUGCAUGGAUUCACCAUACUCACGUAAAGCCACUGGAAACAGCAGACAACGAGGGACUAUACUCAGUGGACUAUACAACAGACUAGCAACCCCUUGAAGUUAAAAUUGACUAAAGCAUAGUUAGAUUAUGCCAGGCAUGAACUGUUUUAGCUUGCUUGCUUUGAUUUUAAUAACAUUGAUGCCAACCUUGCACGGCGGUUUUGGUCCCCCUGUAAGCAAAGAACAAUUGUUAAGAUCUUUGUAUGGGAGCCCCUGUGAUUGCGGAGGGGGCUAUAUUACUAAAGGUAAAGACACCAACUGGGGGGGAAUUAUACAUACAGUAGGAAACAAGGAUCGAGAUCCUUCCCACACAAAUGAUAAAUUGUAUGCAUACAGUCUUCGGACAGAUUGUGGGGACGAGUUAGCAUUCCUUGUUGCUAUACCCUCAGUUACAGGGGGUUUGACUCAAAGGUGGAUGUGUAUGUUAAAGCCCCAAGUGAUACCUAACAAAGGCAGCCAGCCAGGGCCAUGCCCUCAGAAUUGUUCUUAAUAUUCAGAAAUGCAUUCCUCUUGCUAUGACUCUGUACAAGAAUGUAUAGGCAUAGAUAGCAAAACUUACUUCACUGCUGAGCUUAGGAGGACAUGGACUGGAAGUAUUGGAGGUGAUUGGUCCACCAAUCUGACAGUAAUAGGAAGUUCAAAGCCUCAUGUCUCAGCACGGUUGGUAAAUCAGUGUGCUGGAGCAGGGUGGCCCCUAUACAUGUGUCUGAUGGGAGUGGCCCGCAAGAUAAGAUCAGAGAACUAAAGGUUGAGGAACGAGUCAAGCAGCUAAUAAAAAUAAUGUUUCCCCAGAUACAUUACCACCCCUUGAUGCUGCCUAAAUCGCGGGGAGUUGAUCUAGAUGCUCAAACUUCUGGUAUUCUAGAAGCCACUCAUAAAGCCUUAAAUGCUUCCAACCCAACUUUGGCUGAAGAUUGCUGGUUAUGCACGGAACAGAGCUCCCCCAUGCCCCUUGUGAUCCCCACCAAUGUUUCUCUAACUAUGCUGAAGGAACAAGAUUACUUAAAUCAUAGUGCUGGUCCCCCCUUUAGAGUACAACCAGUAGGCUUCAAGGACUCUCUCUGUCUCCAAAGAGGUUUUCAUAAUGAUACUUCCGACAUUAACAUGGGGUUCAUUGCAUUUACCAAUUGUAGUUCCAUAGCCGAAGGGCAAGUAUUUAUUUGUGAAGGAAAUAUGGCCUAUACUUUCCUCCCAACUAACUGGACAGGGAUAUGUGUAACAGCGGUCCUAUUGCCUGAUAUAGAGCUCCUACCCGGGGAUGAGCCUGUCCCCAUUCCUAGUUUAGAUUACAUCACAGGCCAAUCAAAGAGGGCAGUUCAAUUUAUCCCUUUAUUGGUUGGCCUAGGAAUAUCAGGAGCCUUAGGUAUGGGGGCAGCAGGAGUAGAGGUUUCUGUCCAACUUUCCAACCAGAUCGUUAGUGAUGUGCAGGCAUUAUCUAGUACCAUUCAGGUCAUUCAAGACCAAAUAGACUCGUUAGCUGAAGUAAUUCUCCAAAACAGAAGGGGACUAGACCUCCUAAUGGCAGAACAAGGAGGGAUCUGUGUGGCAUUGCAGGAACGAUGCUGCUUUUAUGUAAAAAUAAGUCCAGCGUUGUGUGAGAUAAAAUCAAGAGACUACAGGAAGACCUAGUUAAAAGGAGGAGAGAGCUAUUUGAAAAUCCUUUAUGGAGUGUCUGGAAUGGAAUCCUGCCCUAUCUCCUGCCCUUGCUUGGACCAUUGUUAGGAGUACUGUUCUUCAUCACAGUAAGUCCUUGUAUACUCAAUAGAAUAACUGCAUAUGUCAGACAACAAAUGCAAGGCAUAAAGCUGACGAUGUUAUGCCAGCAUGCCUACAAGCUUGUACCCCAAAAUCCUUAAAAAUUAGGUCAAAGAUUUGACCUCUGUCACAACAUCAGAGGGGAAUGUUGUAACCUGGUUCUAACCAAUGUGCCCCCUUCCUGUUCUGAUGUGCUGUUUCAGUAGAGAUUAAAAUUCCAUCUCCAGUAAGGACUUAAGUUUCAACUCCUUGUAAAUCCCCCUCCCCUCCCCAUUCUUAGGUUAAGUCUCCAUUUCCCAUAAAAGCUUUAAGUUUCAAUUUCUUGUAAUCCCCCCCACCCCCCUUUAGCCUAUCUGCAAUACAGUGUACUGUCCUUAAGAAACCUUUAACUACAAGGAAGUUAUCAAACUGGGUCAAAGUUCGCAACAUUCCCGUGGUUUUUGGCUUUAAAACCCAACCUUUCUAGCCAUAAGGUACGCAGUCUCCAAAUUAGCUCCUGGGGAUUGCGUCGCCAGGCCUGGCCUAAAAUAAAGCCUUUGCUCCCCAAAUUUUAA